UAGGACCCCCAAUAAACCCUCAUCCUAUUAGCACCCUCAGAAGCCGUGUGGAGUCUCCUCACCUGCCUGCUGCUACCAGCGAACUCACAGCUUAGGGGGCCCCCCAGGGACACGCCGGGGGGUUCUCCCAAAACGCACCGCAACACAUAGAUACCUACACUGAGGUGGGUCUGAAGCUGUGCCCCAGUGAGUCUCUUCUACACAUCAAAGCCAAGCAUGACAGCAAGGUGCUGAUCCCACAGAGGAUAUCCUGCAAAACCUUGAGAAAAGUAAAUGUCUGUAUUCUGGGCAAAAGAUUCAACUAAGUUCAUUCUUUCGGAAUGUAGAAGUCAACAAUGAGGCGUCUACAUGUGAGAACUUUACAGUCUUUGUUCCCUCACCUGCCCAGUGCAUAACUAAACCCAACAGUGCUUUCUUGAGAAGAUCACAACCUAAAAUGAUGGCCCAAGGUGUGUUAUAGCAGUCAGAUCUACAAUCCUGUUCCAGUCUUAAAAAUGGCUUUUAAGAAGAUAGUAAAACCUGAGAUCCAUCGAUGGGACUUCAAACGAUCAAGUUUUACAACAAAACAGGACUUUAAAGAUUUUGUCAGAGCUUUUAUUACUUGAUCACAGAUGGAGAAAGGUUGUGCAUGACAACUACUUUAUUUUUUAAAAAACUGAGAUGCUUUGAGCAUCUUGACAUCUUAUAACACUGCUGUUUUACUAUGAAGAAAGAAUUUCUGUCUGUUCCUGCCCCGAAUCAUCUUCCCUCUAUCAAAUGAAAUCUGUAGCACUAUACAGGGAAAGAAUGACAUUGGAAGCAAGUUUCCAUGGUUUAUUAUUAAUUGCUAAAUGAGUCUUUACCUUACGUAAGUAAUAUUUUGCCUCCAUUCUUUAGCAGGCUAAAGCUUAACAUGACUUAAGUGAAAUCAGCUUAUUUUUACUAUGAUUCUCUAGUGAAUAUUAUUUUGAGCUGUUGUUUGGGUUUGCUUUCAACUAUCUAUUUUGAUUCAUGACUCUAUUGCUAUAGAGCUAUAUAGGAUUGAGAACACUCCUAGCUGAAGAAAGUAAAGAAAUGGUAGGAAAAAUAUAGGACUUGUAUAAUUCAUCAUUAAAAUUCUAAUUUUUACUGGAUUUUAUGAUAAAAAAUGAGUUAAGCAGAAGUUUGUAGAUGGAGAUAAUUUCUCUUAUGAUCUGUAUUGAGUGGAUAAACUUUAAACUAUGUUUUUUGAACUCAUAAAAAGUCAUUAUCUUUAUCUACAAAUCCUAAUCUUAUCUGUGUAGUGAUGUAACCAGAGUUACAAGAACAGUAUACUAGUACAUAGCCUACUUUAGAUGUAAGAAAAUUAAUCAAAAGAGAAAAUUAUUGUACUCCAUGCUGUCUCAAAUAAGUUCUACUUGAGGAAUUUUUCUCUGAAAAAAAAAAUUCUGUUGUCUGCUCCCAGAUUUAUUCCAACACCAGUAUCUAGUUGCCCUUUGAACAUCAAGGCCUGUUCUAAUCUACUUCUUGUUACUACCCUAGUAAAGUUAUGCCUUGGAGGACCUCUGAGAAAUGUAUUAAGUGAAAGCGUUUUUACUUUUGGUUUAUGUUUUUCUCUUGUCUCUUUGACGAGUUUUCAAAAAUUAGAUGUAGCAACUGCUUCCAAGUAUUCACUUUGUGAGAGCACAAUAGCUGGAAUCUUUCCUAAUGCUUUAAUUUUGCUACUUUUUCUGCAAAACUUUGUGUUUGUUUCCCUCCCUUUCUAUUGAGGGAGGGAAAAGGCAUCUACAUAGAAGUGGACAGUAGGGGGGACUUGGACUCUUUUAUAAUUAUAUAUUUUAUUUUAAACAGCCUGUGGAUUCAAAACCAAGAAUGCUUCAAACACUGACAAGACAUCCUUGUUCUGUGUCUCCAUAGCAGGGCCUAACCCCCUAGUAAUUUCUGCCUUUAUCUCUGAGUUUUUGAUGAUAAUGCUAGAGAGAGAUUUUUACCUGCUCUCCUUCCUACCCUAAGAAUUUUACAUCCCAGGAUGGCGGCCAGCUGGCUGACCUUUCACAGGACUAGUGAGAGAUACUUGCUUCCACAUGGCUUGUUAAUCCCAAGGAGAAGCCCCAGCUGUUUUUUUCCAAAUUUAAAGAAAAUAAUUUGAGAUUUGGAAAAUUUUGGAUUGUUGUUUGUUGUUUUAGAUCAAUAUUUAUGCAUACUUUAAUAAUCUAGUUGCUUUUCUUCUGAGUGAUGUGUACAAAGAGUUAAUGUACUUUUGUUGGGUUUUAAUAAAUCUUAAAGAAAACUG